CCACUUGAAGAUGAAGAACUGGUGACCUACAUCCUCACCGGCCUUGAUCAAGACUUCAAUCCAAUUGUGUCCGCUCUUGUUGCAAGAACGGAACAAGCCCCGGUAAUGGAAGUUUAUUCGCAGCUUCUUGCUUUUGUAA
rnacentral:snoRNA from 1 species